UACGUAGGCAGCGAGCGUUGUUCGGAAUUACUGGGCGUAAAGAGUGUGUAGGCGGUGCUCUAAGUUCGGUGUGAAAUCUCCUGGCUUAACUGGGAGGGUGCGCCGGAAACUGGAGUGCUUGAGCGUGGGAGAGGAAAGCGGAAUUCCUGGUGUAGCGGUGAAAUGCGUAGAUAUCGGGAGGAACACCUGUGGCGAAAGCGGCUCACUGGACCGCAACUGACGCUGAGGCGCGAAAGCUAGGGGAGCAAACAGG
rnacentral:rRNA from 1 species